UAAUGGUAAUUCUGCUGACAAGUAUCUGGAAUCUUACUCUGAUGGCUUACGUGAUGCAUGCAAGGAGCCUGCUAAUAUAGCAGAGUAGAAGGGUCAUUCUGAUGACAAUAGGACUCCUCUGGAAACCUUAAUGUGCUGCGAAAUCUUCCUCAGAAUUGUGAGCUGAUGAACUUGGUUAAAGUGGCUAGAAGUUCCUGGCUUCGAAACUGUUUAUUUCCUUCAAGACUGUGUGAUACGCUUUUUGUGUGUGCUGUCACUUGAUCGCUUUGGAGAUUAUGUAUCUGAUCAGGUUGUUGCUCCAGUGCGCGAAACCUGUGCACAGGCAUUAGGUGCUGCAUUUAAGUAUAUGCAUCCAGCACUAGUAAAUGAAACAUUGAACAUAUUGUUGAAAAUGCAGUGUAGGCCAGAAUGGGAGAUUCGUCAUGGCAGUCUUCUUGGUAUCAAAUAUUUGGUUGCUGUUCGGCAGGAAGUAGUGCAAGGCCAUCCUGGGUCUUCCUGGUACUUGUUU